rnacentral:misc_RNA from 1 species
UUUCAACCUAUCACGUGUCAUUCCUAGAUUAUUAGAAUUAACCCACUUGUUGAUUCCACUGUAUUAUUUUAUAAAUAGGAAUUAGAACAAGGGAAUGAAAGGAUGAUCAAAGGCUCGAGAAUUAUGUUCAAAAGAAUUCUUCGAUCGGCGAACGUCAAUCUAAUUGACGCAUCGAACAGGAGAACAAUAACGAUCGGGUCGAUGCCUGACAAAAAUUCACCUGAAUAUGUUGAAAAUUACAAUGGUAUGCAAAGUUUAGUAGCUAAUCUUCAAAGCCAUGUGGAAAAAGCCCAUGCUGGAGGAGGAGAAACUGCAGUUAAAAGACAUAUCUCUAAAGGAAAAUUAUUAGUGAGAGACAGAAUAAACUGUUUAUUAGAUCCAGGAACCCCAUUUUUAGAAUUAUCUCAGCUAGCCGCACACAACAUGUACCAACCUGAUUUUGUUCCUGCAGCAGGAGUUGUGACUGGAAUCGGUAGGAUAUCAGGGAGGGAAUGUAUGAUCGUGGGCAAUGAUGCCACCGUCAAAGGUGGAACGUACUAUCCAAUUACUGUAAAAAAACAUUUACGUGCUCAGGAAAUAGCAGAGGAAAACAAUUUGCCUUGUGUUUACUUGGUCGACUCAGGAGGAGCCAAUCUCCCUCACCAGGCAGACAGUUUUCCCGAUAAAAAUCAUUUUGGAAGGAUUUUUUUUAACCAAGCAAAUAUGUCUUCAAAAGGCAUUCCUCAGAUAGCUGUUGUUCUUGGGUCAUGCACUGCAGGAGGAGCCUACGUACCCGCCAUGUCUGAUGAAUCAGUGAUCGUUCGAAGACAAGGUACAAUUUUCUUAGCAGGGCCUCCACUUGUCAAAGCUGCAACUGGUGAAACUGUCAGUGCCGAGGAUUUGGGAGGAGCAGAUCUCCACUGUGGGGUAUCAGGUGUUACGGAUCAUUAUGCCAUGAAUGACAGGCAUGCUCUUCACAUUGCAAGGGAAAUUGUUAAAAGGUUAAAUCACAAAAAGCAAGUUCCGGUGGAUGUAGCGGAUGAAGUCAAACCACCUUUAUACGACCAAGAUGAGAUAUACGGCAUUGUAGGAACCAAUUUAAAAAAAAGUUACGACAUCCGUGAGGUUAUAGCUCGGAUUGUAGAUGGGUCUGAAUUUUCUGAAUUCAAAGCAAGGUAUGGUGAUAGUCUUGUCACUGGGUUUUGCCAUUUAUACGGAUAUCCUGUUGGCAUUAUUGCAAAUAAUGGAGUUCUCUUUUCUGAAUCUGCCCUUAAAGGAGCACAUUUUAUUGAGUUGUGUUGCCAGCGUAAAAUUCCAUUAAUUUUCUUACAAAAUAUAACAGGUUUUAUGGUCGGGAGAGAUGCCGAGGCUGGCGGAAUUGCAAAAAAUGGAGCCAAAAUGGUGACAGCUGUGUCUUGCGCCAGAGUACCCAAAAUAACUGUGCUUGUUGGUGGUUCAUAUGGAGCUGGCAAUUACGGCAUGUGCGGAAGGGCUUAUGGGUAAGAUUUGCCCCGAGGGUAAUCAAGAUAAACAGGCAGGCCUAGGUUUUUGUACAUGUGGCCUAAUGCGAGAAUUUCUGUAAUGGGAGGGGAGCAGGCAGCUGGUGUUUUAGCCCAAGUCGCCAGAGAUAAAAGAUUAUUAAACAAAAAAGAGUGGACAGAAGAAGA